CCGUAGUAGGUCUCCUAUGCUGGUUUUUCAUAUUUUUGCACCAUAUCAAGAGAAACGAGAUUCAAGUCGUGAUCGAGGAAAAAAAAUAAAGUUUACGAGGAAUAGGCUCGAUUGCUAAUAUUUUAUAUCGAGUUUUGACAAGCCAGCUCAGAAAUCGGGAACGGUCGGAGGCCCACUCACACUAUCCGUAUACCAUCUUGGCAUAAUGGCUUGUAUGUUUUGAGUAUGGCAUGUAUAGCAUUAUAAUCAUUUUGUAUAUAUGGUCUUAUGAUAUGGAUAUUGAGUGGUAUGGAAAUGCUUGGUAAUGAUUAGCCAUUGGAAUGGCUAAUCAUGAUCAUAUUUGGUGUUAUGUAUGCUAAAUUGCUAGCUAAUCCAUGGAAACCAUGAAAUAGGCAAAAUUUACCAUAAAA